UACGUAGGGACCGAGCGUUGUCCGGAUUCAUUGGGCGUAAAGAGCUCGUAGGCGGCCACUCAAGUCGAAUGUGAAACCUCGAGGCUUAACCUCGAGCCUGCAUUCGAUACUGGGCGGCUAGAGUCUGGUAGGGGGAUCUGGAAUUCCUGGUGUAGCGGUGGAAUGCGCAGAUAUCAGGAAGAACACCCGUGGCUAAGGCGGCUCUCUAGUACGGUACUGACGCUGAGACGCGAAAGCGUGGGGAGCGAACAGG
rnacentral:rRNA from 1 species